rnacentral:rRNA from 1 species
GACGAACGCUGGCGGCGUGCCUAAUACAUGCAAGUCGAACGCAGUGGGGACGGGUGAGUAACACGUGGGUAACCUCCCAUCAGAGGGGAUAACCCUUGGCAACAGGUGCUAAACCGAUACUGAUGGAUGUACCCGCGGGGCAUUAGCGAGUCGGUGGGGUAACGGCUCACCAAGGCGACGAUGACUAGCCGACCUGAGAGGGUGAUCGGCCACACUGGGACUGAGACACGGCCCAGACUCCUACGGGAGGCAGCAGUAGGGAAUCUUGGGCAAUGGACGAAAGUCUGACGGAGCAACGCCGCGUGAGUGAAGAAGGUUUUCGGAUCGUAAAACUCUGUUGGUGGGGAAGCGGUAUCUAACCAGAAAGCAACGGCUAACUACGUGCCAGCAGCCGCGGUAAUAC